UACGUAGGUGGCAAGCGUUGUCCGGAUUUACUGGGCGUAAAGAGCGCGCAGCGGUCGUUCAAGUCGCGUGUGAAAGCCCCCGGCUCAACUGGGGAGGGUCACGCGAUACUGAUCGACUCGAAGGCAGGAGAGGGAAGUGGAAUUCCCGGUGUAGUGGUGAAAUGCGUAGAUAUCGGGAGGAACACCAGUGGCGAAGGCGACUUCCUGGCCUGUUCUUGACGCUGAGGCGCGAAAGCUAGGGAGCAACGGG
rnacentral:rRNA from 1 species